rnacentral:rRNA from 1 species
GUGAACGCUGGCGGUAGGCCUAACACAUGCAAGUCGAACGGCAGCACAGUAAGAGCUUGCUCUUACGGGUGGCGAGUGGCGGACGGGUGAGGAAUACAUCGGAAUCUACUUUUUCGUGGGGGAUAACGUAGGGAAACUUACGCUAAUACCGCAUACGACCUACGGGUGAAAGCAGGGGAUCUUCGGACCUUGCGCGAUUGAAUGAGCCGAUGUCGGAUUAGCUAGUUGGCGGGGUAAAGGCCCACCAAGGCGACGAUCCGUAGCUGGUCUGAGAGGAUGAUCCGCCACACUGGAACUGAGACACGGUCCAGACUCCUACGGGAGGCAGCAGUGGGGAAUAUUGGACAAUGGGCGCAAGCCUGAUCCAGCCAUACCGCGUGGGUGAAGAAGGCCUUCGGGUUGUAAAGCCCUUUUGUUGGGAAAGAAAAGCAGCAGGUUAAUACCCCGCUGUUCUGACGGUACCCAAAGAAUAAGCACCGGCUAACUUCGUG